rnacentral:rRNA from 1 species
GAGUCGGACCUGCCCAGUGAACAAAUUUUUAACGGCCGCGGUACUCUGACCGUGCAAAGGUAGCAUAAUCAUUUGCCCUAUAAUUGAGGGCUAGUAUGAAUGGUUUGACGUGAAUAACACUGUCUCUGCAUAAUUUCUUAGAAUUUGAUUCCUAGGUGAGGAAACCUAGAUUAUAUUGAAAGACAAGAAGACCCUAUUGAGCUUUAAAGAAGUAAGUAGAAAACAAUGUAUAGUUUUAAAUAUUCAUCUACUUAAAAUUUUGGUUGGGGCGACUAUGGAACAAAUAAAGCUUCUUUAUUCUUAUUUAAACUGUCAGGUUUUGAUCCAGGACUUCUGAUUAAUGAAAUUAGUUACCAUAGGGAUAACAGCAUAAUUCUCUUUGAGAGUUCUUAUCGAAAAGAGAGUUUGUGACCUCGAUGUUGGACUAGAAUAUCCUAAAGAUGCAGCAGUCUUUAAGGGUUGGUC